rnacentral:lncRNA from 1 species
AACAGGGGUGAGAGAAAAGAGUUAGUGUUAGUGGUUAGUCAAACUCGGCAAGACAUCGCGUCUCGUGCCUACGUAUCUCACCUGAACGUGAGAAUCAGAGUUGCCGUAGUUCGGCCGGCUGGGACAAAGGAUCUCGAUUGCAACUAGGGCAAGAGAAAGGGAAAGUCUCGAUCGCAACGAGGGCGAGAGAAAGGAUCGCAACGAGGGCGAAAACAAGCACGGAUU